rnacentral:rRNA from 1 species
AGUGAACGUUGGCGGCGUGGAUUAGGCAUGCGAGUCGAGCGAGAACCGUAGCAAUACGGGGACAGCGGCGAAAGAGACAGUAAUAUGUAGGUACCUACCCUCGGGUCCGGGAUAGCUGCGGGAAACUGCAGGUAAUACCGGAUGACAUCUCCGGAUCAAAGGUGUGAUUCCGCCCGGGGAGGGGCCUGCAUCCUAUUAGCUUGUUGGUGGGGUAACGGCCUACCAAGGCGACGAUGGGUAGCGGGUGUGAGAGCAUGACCCGCGUCAUUGGGACUGAGACACUGCCCAGACACCUACGGGUGGCUGCAGUCGAGAAUCUUCGGCAAUGGGGGCAACCCUGACCGAGCGACGCCGCGUGCGGGAUGAAGGCCUUCGGGGUGUAAACCGCUGUCGUAGAGGAGGAAAUGCAGGGGGGUUCUCCCCUCUGUUUGACCUAUUCUAGGAGGAAGGACGGGCUAAGUUCGUGCCAGCCGCCGCCGUAA